rnacentral:tRNA from 2 species
GCUCGCGUAGCUCAGUGGAUAGAGUGUUCGCCUCCGAAGUGAAAGGACGCUGGUUCAAGUCCAGCCGCGAGUA